rnacentral:rRNA from 1 species
GAUGAACGCUGGCGGCGCGCCUAACACAUGCAAGUCGAACGAUUAAAGCACCUUCGGGUGUGUAUAAAGUGGCGAACGGCUGAGUAACACGUGGGCAACCUGCCCCUCUCAUUGGGAUAGCCACGGGAAACCGUGGAUAAUACCGAAUACUUCGGGACUUCCGCAUGGAAGACUCGAGAAAGCUCCGGCGGAGAGGGAUGGGCCCGCGGCCUGUCAGCUUGUUGGUGGGGUAAUGGCCUACCAAGGCAAUGAUGGGUAGCUGGGUUGAGAGACCGACCAGCCAGAUUGGGACUGAGAGACGGCCCAGACUCCUACGGGAGGCAGCAGUGGGGAAUCUUGCACAAUGGGCGAAAGCCUGAUGCAGCGACGCCGCGUGCGGGAUGAAGGCCUUCGGGUUGUAAACCGCUUUCAGCAGGGACGAGGCGAAAGUGACGGUACCUGCAGAAGAAGCCCCGGCUAACUACGUG